UACGUAGGGGGCAAGCGUUGUCCGGAUUUAUUGGGCGUAAAGAGCGUGUAGGCGGCCAGGCAGGUCAGCUGUGAAAACUCGAGGCUCAACCUCGAGACGCCGGUUGAAACCAUCUGGCUAGAGUCCGGAAGAGGAGAGUGGAAUUCCUGGUGUAGCGGUGAAAUGCGCAGAUAUCAGGAAGAACACCCGUGGCUAAGGCGGCUCUCUAGUACGGUACUGACGCUGAGACGCGAAAGCGUGGGGAGCGAACAGG
rnacentral:rRNA from 1 species